rnacentral:rRNA from 1 species
UUGGGGAAUAUUGGGCAAUGGGCGAAAGCCUGACCCAGCAACGCCGCGUGAAGGAAGAAGGUCUUCGGAUCGUAAACUUCUAUCCUUGGUGAAGAUAAUGACGGUAGCCGAGAAGGAAGCCCCGGCUAACUACGUGCCAGCAGCCGCGGUAAUACGUAGGGGGCAAGCGAUGUCCGGAAUGAUUGGGCGGAAAGGGCGCGUAGGCGGCCUUGUAAGUCUGGAGUGAAAGUCCUGCUUUUAAGGUGGGAAUUGCUUUGGAUACUGUCGGGCUUGAGUGCAGGAGAGGUAAGUGGAAAUCCCGGUGUAGCGGUGAAAUGCGUAGAGAUCGGGAGGGACACCAGUGGCGAAGGCGACUUACUGGACUGUAACUGACGCUGAGGCGCGAAAGUGUAGGGAGCAAACAGGAUUAGAUACCCCAGUAGUCC